UACGGAGGGUGCAAGCGUUAAUCGGAAUUACUGGGCGUAAAGCGCACGUAGGCGGCUUGGUAAGUUAGAGGUGAAAGCCUGGAGCUCAACUCCAGAAUUGCCUUUAAGACUGCCGAGCUAGCAGGUGAGAGAGGUGAGUGGAAUUCCGAGUGUAGAGGUGAAAUUCGUAGAUAUUCGGAAGAACACCAGUGGCGAAGGCGGCUCACUGGCUCAUACUGGACGCUGAGGUGCGAAAGCGUGGGGAGCAAACAGG
rnacentral:rRNA from 1 species